AAUGGGAUGGGAGUGGUGAUAAGCUUUUGCUGGGUUCCCGCCAACGUGGGUGUGGAGGGAAAUUAGAAGGCUGAUGUGAUGACUAAGAGGGCAGUGAGGAGAGAGGGGGUAGAUAUUCAGUUCCCAUUGGGCCGUAGCGAAGUCAAGUCCUUGAUUCGGGCAAAAGGGCUCGAUCUUUGUCAAAGGAAGUGGUACGCUAGUAGUAAGGGGAGGCAAUUUUAUUGCAUUCACCGGUCAGUUAAGGAAGAGGUGGGCAGUAUGGGAUUGUAGGAGAGAGGAAGUUGUGUGGAGUGGACUGCGGUUUGGACACACCAGGUUUGAAUGCCACAUUGUGGAUGAUAAGGAGACAUGAAACAGAUAUGGUCCUGAAAGCUCAGGAGACUGCUGAGGGGAGGACAGCUCAUAAUAAUGGCUGCAAUGAAGUGAAUGGAAUGGUAUCAAACCCUUUUUCGAUACCUUUCCAUUAAUUCCGUUCCAGCCAUUACUAUUACCAAAUAAGGUGCGACCAACUCGUGACCCUGAAAGUAUUUCUCCCACCACCAGUUUCCCGCGUGCAGAUACGAAAGACGACCUGAUCUUGAGACUGAUUCUCCCACCACAAGUAACGAGUUGGAAAGAAGACUGCCUGCCCAAGCUUUGAUGAGGCCUGAAAGUCAUAUUGUACCGCGACCAAAAGGACAAGAGGAACCGAACCCUUUGCUCUGACUCUCGUGGGACAAUCACCCCUACUCCAUGGCAUUCACUAUCAUGACUGAGCAGGCUCUGGAGCAGAGGACAUUCAUGUUUAGCUGUUUUACAAGAAUUCAUAUGGAAAAUGGAUACCUGGUAGGGGUUUGGGGGAGUAAAGGGUAAAGUGCUUACUUUUCUUCACCCCCUUUCCUCAGCUUUAAUUGCUGGGGCUCCUGUGAUUUUUGAAAUGAUGGAUUGUGCUAAAGUUUUUAUUUGUGUGUUCCUUAUUUGUUUAUCUUUUGCAUGACUUCACUUUGGAGCUGAAAUGAAUCAUUCAAAAUACACAUUUUGUAUUUUAUCUACAAUUUGUCAUGAUUGGCCAAUAUGUCAUUUUAAGAAUUUCAUCGACUGUGUCGAAAUGUUGUAAUAUUGAUUGUUAUGGUUAGACAUAUUUUGUACAUUUAGAGAAUGAACAGAUUCUGUAAUAGACAAGUAGAAAAAUAACCCAGCAAUAAAGUAAGAAAUAACCCACUGCUGGGUCAAAAAUACACAAAUAAAAAUAACCCAGCAAAAGAGUAAAAAGCAACCGACUGCUGGGUCAAAGUAAUCGUAUUUUGUGGUAAAUCAAGAAACCCAACGUGUUGG